ACCAGAGGCAGGAAAGUGACUAGGCUGGAAAAGGACCGGGACUGGAAAGGGACCAGGAUUGAACAGACUGGUUACAAAGACUCCGAACAAUUUCACGCCCGUGCUGUUACAGUGGAGGACAAAAUGCUUUCAGCAAGGAUUUGAACACUCUCCCGUCCCUGCAGGAAAGGAUCGAUGCUGAUAUAAGAGCCUGGACAGAUGUAAUGAUAGCUAAAGAAAACAGAUGGCUGGAGAUGACAUAUAUCCAGGGUCACUAUGUCAGGCCCUAGGACUUAAAUUUAAGAGGAACUUUUUUUUUUUUUUUAACCAAAUAGCUAGGGGGAGGGAGGAGGGAGAGGGAGGACAGGAAGAGAGAAUCCUAUGCAUAAAUUGUUUACUGAAUUUUUAUAUCUGAGUGUUGAAAAUGUCGCCAAGCCUGAAUGUUGUCUAUUGGUAUAGAUUUUUAGAGAUCAGUAAUUGAUUAUUUAUUUGCACCUAAUAUAAUGCCUGAAAAAGUGCGUCAUGUGGAUGUUAAGUACAAAUUCAAGAAAGUAAGAUGCUUUCAGCUGCUCAGUAAAACCAAUUGCCACCUUUUGGUCUGUAAAAGGUUUCUUAUACGUUUCAAACAGGUUGCACAAAUGUUAAAAUAAUGGGGUCUUUUAUAAAUCCAAAGGACUGUGAAAACAUUUUAUAAUUUUUAAAAAUCUGACUAAUGCUAAAACGUAAUCUAAUUAAAUUUCAUACAGUUACCGCGGUAAGCAUUAGGAAGUGAAUUUGAUAUACUAAAUAGUUUAUAAAGAGGCUAUGGUUUCUAUAAUUUAUUUUACUGGCAAAUGUCAUGCAACAAUAAUAAAUUAUUAUAAACUUUUGGCUUUUGGUUUGUGAUGCUUGGUCUCAAAGUAAAAAAUAAGAUGGUAAAUGUUGAUAAUUACAAAAUUCUCUAAAGAUGUGUCUUUAACAAUAAAAGAUAGCUUUAGA